GGGCGUGUGGCCCAGUUGGUAGAGCGUUCCCUUAGCAUACGUGGAAGAUAUUCUCACUGUAUGCGAAAGGCCCUGGGUUCGAUUCCCAGCUCGUCCA